rnacentral:lncRNA from 1 species
AAAGUUCCAAGUAUAUUCCUGUCUUAGAGCUUUUGCAGGUUUUUUUUGAAGCCUCUUAGGCAUUCCCUUGGAAAGUUGGCUAUCUGAAUCAUUGAGAUGAACUGAAAAUUAGAUCUUAGCAAAUAAUUCUGCCAACAGUGGAACUCUAAGGCUCUGGUAUCAGCUUAAGGCAGCCCAGCCUUACUUCAGAGUCCCCAUCGAACAGAUCGUUCACCUUGUUGGAUGAAUUGCUUCUCUCUCAGGAUUAAUUAAGAAAAUGUUAAUACUUUUCUUCCUCUUCUUGCUUCCUUGACCCCUAAACACAGUGUUAACAGCUUCUCUACCUGUACAUCAACAAUAUAUCAGUGUAUACACCUUCUGAAUCCUUCUAUAUCUUUCUCCAUGCUUGUCCAAAGAACACAUGCACAGUAGUUUUGGGGUCAUUGUUUUUUUUACAGACUUCUCUGAGACAUACCUUUUUCACUUUUACUAUGGGGCAAGCAAAUAGUUUUAGCUAAAAUGACAAUAUAACAGAAAACCUGUAGUUCCACAGGAUGAAUAAAGACAGACUUAGAAAUUAUAUUGAUAUUUUACAAAGAAUCACUUAUUCCUAGGAUUGUUCCCCAAGACAUCUGAAAUCUUAAUUUGCAUAUCUAUGUGGCAAAGCUUUAAAUUUAAGUUAUCCAGUAGUUUAACAUAAAAUCAUACUGAAACACUCAUUAACACAUUUGAGUAUACUAUGUAAUAGAACUGUUAUUUCUUUACUAACGAGGUCAUAUAGCAUUUUCUGUAAUUUUCAUUCUUGUCUCUUAGAAAGUACAUGAAUUGCCUGUAUAUGGUUCAUAUUUCUGAGCCACAGAAAAAUGUUUUUCUGGAAUUUUGUUUUGAUUGUCAAGUAGCAGAUAGAUCUAAGUAUAAAGAUUCUUGAAAGGGCAAAAAAAAAAUCUUUGUGGAUUCAAAUCCUCAAAUCCAACUACAAUUAAAUAAUAAGGCCUUAUCAGAAGUUAUGAAGCAUAAUAAAGUGCUUUGUCUUUCCACUUGAUUCCUUACUGACUCC